rnacentral:rRNA from 3 species
CAGAGAGCUUGCUCUCGGGUGACGAGCGGCGGACGGGUGAGUAAUGUCUGGGAAACUGCCUGAUGGAGGGGGAUAACUACUGGAAACGGUAGCUAAUACCGCAUAACGUCGCAAGACCAAAGUGGGGGACCUUCGGGCCUCAUGCCAUCAGAUGUGCCCAGAUGGGAUUAGCUAGUAGGUGGGGUAAUGGCUCACCUAGGCGACGAUCCCUAGCUGGUCUGAGAGGAUGACCAGCCACACUGGAACUGAGACACGGUCCAGACUCCUACGGGAGGCAGCAGUGGGGAAUAUUGCACAAUGGGCGCAAGCCUGAUGCAGCCAUGCCGCGUGUGUGAAGAAGGCCUUCGGGUUGUAAAGCACUUUCAGCGGGGAGGAAGGCGUUAAGGUUAAUAACCUUGUCGAUUGACGUUACCCGCAGAAGAAGCACCGGCUAACUCCGUGCCAGCAGCCGCGGUAAUACGGAGGGUGCAAGCGUUAAUCGGAAUUACUGGGCGUAAAGCGCACGCAGGCGGUCUGUCAAGUCGGAUGUGAAAUCCCCGGGCUCAACCUGGGAACUGCAUUCGAAACUGGCAGGCUAGAGUCUUGUAGAGGGGGGUAGAAUUCCAGGUGUAGCGGUGAAAUGCGUAGAGAUCUGGAGGAAUACCGGUGGCGAAGGCGGCCCCCUGGACAAAGACUGACGCUCAGGUGCGAAAGCGUGGGGAGCAAACAGGAUUAGAUACCCUGGUAGUCCACGCCGUAAACGAUGUCGAUUUGGAGGUUGUGCCCUUGAGGCGUGGCUUCCGGAGCUAACGCGUUAAAUCGACCGCCUGGGGAGUACGGCCGCAAGGUUAAAACUCAAAUGAAUUGACGGGGGCCCGCACAAGCGGUGGAGCAUGUGGUUUAAUUCGAUGCAACGCGAAGAACCUUACCUGGUCUUGACAUCCACAGAACUUUCCAGAGAUGGAUUGGUGCCUUCGGGAACUGUGAGACAGGUGCUGCAUGGCUGUCGUCAGCUCGUGUUGUGAAAUGUUGGGUUAAGUCCCGCAACGAGCGCAACCCUUAUCCUUUGUUGCCAGCGGUUAGGCCGGGAACUCAAAGGAGACUGCCAGUGAUAAACUGGAGGAAGGUGGGGAUGACGUCAAGUCAUCAUGGCCCUUACGACCAGGGCUACACACGUGCUACAAUGGCAUAUACAAAGAGAAGCGACCUCGCGAGAGCAAGCGGACCUCAUAAAGUAUGUCGUAGUCCGGAUUGGAGUCUGCAACUCGACUCCAUGAAGUCGGAAUCGCUAGUAAUCGUAGAUCAGAAUGCUACGGUGAAUACGUUCCCGGGCCUUGUACACACCGCCCGUCACACCAUGGGAGUGGGUUGCAAAAGAAGUAGGUAGCUUAACC